GACGAACGCUGGCGGCGUGCCUAAUACAUGCAAGUAGAACGCUGAAGAGAGGAGCUUCCUCUUCUUGGAUGAGUUGCGAACGGGUGAGUAACGCGUAGGUAACCUGCCUUGUAGCGGGGGAUAACUAUUGGAAACGAUAGCUAAUACCGCAUAACAAUGGAUGACACAUGUCAUUUAUUUGAAAGGGGCAAUUGCUCCACUACAAGAUGGACCUGCGUUGUAUUAGCUAGUAGGUGAGGUAAUGGCUCACCUAGGCGACGAUACAUAGCCGACCUGAGAGGGUGAUCGGCCACACUGGGACUGAGACACGGCCCAGACUCCUACGGGAGGCAGCAGUAGGGAAUCUUCGGCAAUGGGGGCAACCCUGACCGGGCAACGCCGCGUGAGUGAAGAAGGUUUUCGGAUCGUAAAGCUCUGUUGUAAGUCAAGAACGGGUGUGAGAGUGGAAAGUUCACACUGUGACGGUAGCUUACCAGAAAGGGACGGCUAACUACGUG
rnacentral:rRNA from 1 species